AUGUUUGAUAGAGGCGCGGUGAUAAGAGUAUCCGGCUGGCAAUAGUCAAGGGAAGACUGUCAGUAGGAGAAAGGAGAAGCCGCCGAAGGAAUGAUAUUUCCCUGAUAUGAUUCCUGGGCCGGAUGCAGAAUAUGCUCCGGACUGUCACAGGUGUGGAGAGCUAUCGAGGAU
rfam:Firmicutes bacterium CAG:212 genomic scaffold, scf165